UGGGGAAUAUUGCACAAUGGGCGGAAGCCUGAUGCAGCGACGCCGCGUGGGGGAUGAAGGCCUUCGGGUUGUAAACUCCUUUCGACAGGGACGAAGCUUUCGUGACGGUACCUGUAUAAGAAGCACCGGCUAACUACGUGCCAGCAGCCGCGGUAAUACGUAGGGUGCGAGCGUUGUCCGGAAUUACUGGGCGUAAAGAGCUCGUAGGUGGUUUGUCGCGUCGUCUGUGAAAUUCCGGGGCUUAACUCCGGGCGUGCAGGCGAUACGGGCUGACUUGAGUGCUGUAGGGGAGACUGGAAUUCCUGGUGUAGCGGUGAAAUGCGCAGAUAUCAGGAGGAACACCGAUGGCGAAGGCAGGUCUCUGGGCAGUAACUGACGCUGAGGAGCGAAAGCAUGGGUAGCGAACAGG
rnacentral:rRNA from 1 species